rnacentral:rRNA from 1 species
UACGUAGGGUGCGAGCGUUAAUCGGAAUUACUGGGCGUAAAGCGUGCGCAGGCGGUGAUGUAAGACAGAUGUGAAAUCCCCGGGCUCAACCUGGGAACUGCAUUUGAAACUCCCUUUCUUGAGUGUCGGAGAGGAAAGUGGAAUUCCUGGUGUAGAGGUGAAAUUCGUAGAUAUCAGGAGGAACACCGGUGGCGAAGGCGGCUUUCUGGACGACAACUGACGCUGAGACGCGAAAGCGUGGGGAGCAAACAGG